rnacentral:ncRNA from 1 species
AUGCAGCGUGCUGGAUAACGGGCCUAUCAGCAGCGUGUUGUUAUUCAGCACAACGUCGCCUUUCGCCGUGGUCUGUUCGCCGUCGAGAGGGAUAUCAAGAUGUAAGCGAGCAUUCACAUCGCCGCCAAUCUUGAGUUCAUCGAGGGCUGCGGCCAGCGAAUCCUCAAGCGGCGUCUCUUUGAAAUAAGGGCCUACCGCGUCACCCGGCCCGCUGAUAUCGGCAUCGAUGAGCAGCUUCUCUUUCGAAUAGUCCGGAAUGAUAGCGGUCAGGUUGCGGCCCGUGACGCCGCCGAGCUUCACCUCGGGCGCUUUCAUCCACAGACCGUCGUUGAUGAAAUCCAGCUCGAUAUUGAGGUUUUCAAGCGCAGGCCAGUCCGGCUGGAAGGCAAAUUUCGCGUUACGCAGCGGC